GGCGUAACUCCUAGAAAAAAAAUUGAAUCGCAAUUUCCCGUCUAUAUGCACAACUACAUAGUAUGUCCUUAUUAUCUGAAAAGGUUUCGUGAAAUUAUGUUGUGUGGUUUGAGAGGAGUUGCGAUGACAAACUGUUGCAGUAGUACAUUAAAGUAAAUAAGUUCAAAGGGGUGUAACUCCUAGAAAAAAAAUGAAUCGCAAUUUCCCGUCGAUAUGCA
rnacentral:lncRNA from 1 species